rnacentral:miRNA from 1 species
AUAUAUCACUUUAGUCACUCAACU